GCUAUUUCUUGGGCCGCCCCUGCAGCAUAUGGAGGUUCCCAGGCUAGGGGUCGAAUCGGAGCUGUAGCCACUGGCCUACGCCAGAGUCACAGCAAUGCAGGAUCCGAGCCGCAUCUGUGACCUACACCACAGCUCACAGCAACGUCGGAUCCUUAACCCACUGAGCAAGGCCAGAGAUCGAACCUGCAACCUCAUGGUUCCUAGUCAGAUUCGUUAACCACUGAGCCUCGACAGGAACUCCCAUACCCACACUUCUGACCAUACCUUCUAGGGAUGUCUUUCAGUUCGGUUCCUCAGUAGGUCAUUCUGCCUUAUUUCUGUGCCCCAAGCAUGGCUGCCCCUCCUCCCUGGAGCACCUUUUUAUCCACAGCCCACCAACACCACCGUCAGGCAAUCUCCUAUUCAUCUUUCCAUCUCAGCCCUUUCCCCAACCUUCUCAGGUCUAGUUUAAGUGGGUUCCCACAUGAAUCCACAGCAACUGUAACUCCUGUACCAGUGGGCCUGCUUCCCACGUGAGAGCUGGAUUGGUCACACCCUAUUCAUACAAUUAGCACAGUGGUUGGCACAAAACAGACCAAAUGGAAGAUUCAGGACCACAUAGGAAUAGACUUAGAGAAAAGUGGAAUAAAGGUGCUAUUUCAAAAGAAUAAACUUUGGUGACUCAACAGAUGUAAUGGAAAGUUCUCUCACUGGAUACCUACUUUUGCCUGCUCUCUGGUCAAAACUAGCCUAUAACAUUAUUUUUUUUCCCCUUCUUUUUAGGGCCACACCCAUGGCACAUGGAAGUUCCCAGGAUAGGGGUCAAAUUAGAGCUAUAGCUGCCGGCCCAUGCCACAGCCAAGCAAUGCCAGAUCCUUAACCCACUGAGUGAGGUCAGGCCAGGGAACGAACCCGCAUCCUUCAUGGAUUCUAGUCAAGGUUCUUAACCUGCUGAGUCACAAUGGGAUCUGCCUAUCACACUGUGACAUAUAGUUCAAAGGAUUAAAUUUGGCAAGGUGUGCUUUUUAAAAAAAGACAUAUAGGAUUUCCCACAGUGGUACGACAAGGUCAGCAGCAUCUUGGGACCACUGGGACACAGGUUUAAUCCCCAGCCCAAGACAGUGGGUUAAAGAUCCAGCAUUGCUGCAGCUGUGGCAUAGGUCACAACUAUGGCUCAGAUCUGACCCCUGGCCCAGGAACUCCAUAUGCCACGGCCAAAAAAAGAAAAAGAAAAAAAAAAAGACAUAUAAGCACAGCUUACCAACAUACUAUCUUUUUAUAACCUUUUUUGUCAAAAAGAAAUUAAGACUUGUUCCAUAUUAUAGAACCACCCCGCUACCCAGAUACCAUAUGCUUUUCUAAGAGAAAGUAGAAAAGCCUGAAGUACUUGUUCCACCAAGGAUCCAAAUCAAGAAUGUUAUGCAAAUGAUGCUUGUUCCAAAAAGAACUGUCACCAGAAACAGGGGAAGGGAGGGACACAUUUAUUAAUAUUCCCACACUGGACAGAGCACCGUGGGUGAAUUUUUAAUGAUUAACCUUGUUCUUGCCUUCUAACACAAAGAUAAGCUUCAUUUAAAUAGUACAGGAAAAAAAUAAAAAUCAUUAAAAAAAAUUAUAGGAGUAGUGAGCAGAAUAAAAAAUUGGAUCUCAACCAAUUCUAUUCUAGAGAACAGAACUUGCACUAAUAGGUAGAAUUUAUACAGCCAACAGGUUUCAAAUCAAUGUAGAAGACAGUUUAGAACUAGGAUUUCCCAUAAUUGAAUAGCCAGUGUGAUGGUAUGUUCCAAUCCUGGAGGUUUUCAGGCAAAAUCUAGAUGAUCGCACUAAGACCAGUUGUGCUACACAGGCUAGCUAUAUUCCAGGUGCAUGCCACGUGCUUUAUCUAGAUUAUCUACUGCAAUCUUCUUUUUAACCUUUUAGGAUGAUUAUUAUCCCUGUAUUAUACAAUAGAAAAUGAAAACUGAGAUUACCCCAAAACAUUAGUGGCUACCACCUGCUGGCCCAAGCCACUCUCCUUUCUGGCCUGGAUUAUCAUGUUCACCUUCUAAGUUAUCACCCUGCUUUCACCCCCACCCCUAUGGUUCAUUCUCUGUGCAGCAGACAGGGAUUGGAAUGCUUAAUUUUCUGUGGCAACUUGCCUAGGCUGUGGGAUGCUCAGAUAUUUGGUUAAAUGGUAUUUCCAGGUGUGUCUGUGAGGACUAGAACUUACACCCAAAGCUCUCUUCACUCAGGCCUUCAGACUCAAACCAGAGCCACUCCAGCUUACAGACGGGUCAGCGGGGGGUGGGGUGGGGUCAGGAGACUCCACCCUCAUAACACAUGAGCCAAUUCCUUAUAAUACAUCUAGGAGAAAAUAGAAUUCUAAUGAUAGAGCCAAUAAAAAAAUUCCUAUAUGUGUUUAUAUAUAUAUAUGUAUAUGCUCUUAUACAUGUGUGUAUAUAUACCCCCACAUACAUAUCUUUUAUUGCUUCUAUUUCUCUGGAGAACCCUUACUAACACAAGGAUCCAUUUAAAACAACAUUAAAUCAUGGAGGGUCAAAACCCUCCAAAGGCUUCCGUUUUUACAUCAGCCUAAGGUCAAAAUCCUUACCUCGGCCUGCAAGGCCCUACCUCUACCUCCCUGACCCCAUGUCCUGCUGCGCCCCCCCCACACACACACGCCUCCAGGCUGUGUCUGAACAUAACAAGCACAUUUUCAGCUAAGGACCUUCAUUCUGCUUCCCUCCACCCAAAACUCUUCUCUCCCAGACAUCUACACAGUUUGUUCCCCACGUUCUUCAGGUCUUUGCUUAAAUAUAGUCGUCCUUCAGUGUCCACGGGGUGGGUGGGGUGGUUGGUUCCAGAACCCCCAGCAGGUAACAAAAUCCACAGAUGCUCAAGUCCCUCAUACAAUAUGGCAGAGGAGACUCAGCCCCCUGCACUCCUGGGGUCUAUAUCCACAGAUACAGAAGGCUAUUAUACCUGAUCAGUAAGAAUUCCCUAACCAUCUAAAAAAUAGUAACCCCCCCCACAUCAUUCCCUAUCCCCCUCACCCUGCUUUGCUUUUCCUCAGAGCACAUAUCGUCAUCUGACUUCUGAAUUUAUUUGUUAGCGUCUUUGUCUGGCACUAAAAUGUGACCUAUCUGAAAACCAGACCUUGAUCUGAUUAAUCACUACGCUAUCUUCCCCAUCAGAACUCUGCAUGGCACAAUAAAUCUUGGUUGGAAAAAACAAAGCCCAGACAACCAGACUUACAACCUAUUCUCUUAAAUGUCAAGCCACACUGGGCAACCAGGAAAAGACGUAUUUCAUUAGGAGGGCAGGGGGACUAGAUUUAAGGCCCCCUCCACUGCUAAGACUAUGACGCCUCAAGACUGCCCUCAGGACCUUAAGAGCAUGGUUCCCUUUUGCUGCUCUUUCCUCUGGCCACAUUUUACCACUUUCCUUGAAUAAAUAAGUGGCAAGCAUUAGGCAAUGGAUGAGAUCAUAGGUCCAGGAAGCCAGCUCCUCCUUGAGUCAUCUCUUACCCAUUUCUCAUGCUGUUACCGUUUGCUCUUAUUUCUCAGAUGCUAUCUGACCUGCAGCCACUCAGUUGUCAAUGGAAAAGUAUAGCACCAAAAUUUAUGUUUUUAAACCAGUAGUUGGACUGACAAAGAUAAAAAGCAUCGUACUAUUAUCAUGAAAAGUCUAAACAAGUAUAAGCAGCAAAUGCAUUGAUGUCAUCUACAAAUAAACAAAGAAAAAGAUCAAUUCACUGACUCACUGUUGAUCAACCAAGAUAACGUUUAAGGGAAAGCAAAAGACCAACCUUGCAGGCCAGUAUAUUUUAGUGCCAGAAACCAACAGUGCAAGAGAGGGCUCUGCACUGGCAGCAUUUACUUCUAUUUACUACUAGAAGACAUGGGAAUCCAGGGAGCUGGCGAUUUCAAAGCUUCAGGAAGAGCUGGCAGGUCAUGUGACCAGAAGAGAGGACAGAAAAUUGUUCUAUAACAUUGCUAGAGUAAGAUGCUUCAUUAUUUCCCACAGUUCCACAGAGUUCUCAAAAGAUACUUAAAAUGAUUCUAGAUCGAACAUAUGAAGUCAGAAAGUAAUUACAUUAUUAUAUUCUUAUUAAGAGUCAGCAGCUCUUCAAGGGCAGCUUGCAACACUCUUUCACGCAGAUCUUUUACAAUUCACCAGAAAUCUGUUCACCUGUUCACUUUCCAAGUUGUGUUUGUUUUUAGUUUCUCCUGUAAGUCCUACAUCUAGAUCUUCAGUUGAAACAUCCAGCCAUUCGCUAUUCUUUGGACCAAUCCAACAAUUAGCUACUCCUUGGACAAAUCCAACAGAGAAAGUGCUGUCUCUCAAUCCUAACUGCUGGUCUGUGGGUGUCUCGGAAUAGCAUCAAGUUGAAGUCACCUAUGUAAGCACCUUUUCAUAAAAGGCUAAUGAGGAAGCAAAUCAAGUCUUUAUAGGAUUUCCUUCCUUUAAAAAAUAAAACAUUUUUUAGAGUGUUAUUUCUGAAACAAUGGUCUUUUUUUUUUUAAUUUAUUUUUUU
rnacentral:lncRNA from 1 species